CAGCUGGGCAGAGGGAUUCUCCUCCUGUUCAUCACUGGGAUUGAGACUCUGCUUGGGAUUGCUGGGCUUGCUGCAUGGCAGGAAUCAGAAACAUUCAAUGAUCACCUCCUGUUGACUGAGAUCCAUUUAAUGAGUGGUCAGAAAAGCAACAGCAGAGAGCUGAAUGUCUACAGCAAGGAUUGGAGGGAAUACUGACAAAACCAGAGGCAAGAAAGAGAGCCCCGGUGGCCUGCUGGAUUUUUGGCAAGAGAGAAAAUGGUUUUGGCU